CAGGCAGCAGAGAAAAGGAUUGGAAAUGCUGACAUGUUGCCUGGUUCCCUCAAAUAAUAAUAUGAUGAUGAUGAUUUUGUAAGAGCCAACGCCAUCAACGUUGUUGGAGCGGGUUCUCAGACAAAAGGGCUGUUCUGAAGCAUGACUGAGCCUGGGUUCUUCCCAGCUCCGGAUCUUUCUGUGAAUGGUUCCCCACUGCCUUCUGGAUAAGGUCUGAAUUCCACUGCUUGGCUGUCAAGGCCUUGCCCUGAUUAGCACCCACUGACAUCCAACCACACUUGCCAUCUUACAACCAGAAUGCUUCACCCACCUGACUCCAGCUUGCCGAAGUCCACCCCCAGCACCCGGCUGCAUGCCAUUCCUCUGAGGGGCAUGAACUGUGCGCACCCACCCUGACACACCCGGCUCCACUGAACUGUCCUGUCUCAGAACACAAAGUCUUCCCCAACCGGCAAGGAUGGGGCCCUCUUGGUACCAGGAAACUACAGGAAAGCAGUGCCCAGGUUCAUAUCCCCAGUGCCCUCGCUCAGGACUGAUACCCAAGCAACCCUGCUGUGUUCUCAGCACCCUGUACCAGACCCAGACAUACGCAAUACCCAACAAAUACAUGUGCAGUGAAUGAAACCA